UACGUAGGGUGCGAGCGUUGUCCGGAAUUAUUGGGCGUAAAGGGCUCGUAGGCGGUCUGUCACGUCGAAAGUGAAAACUCAGGGCUCAACCCUGAGCCUGCUUCCGAUACGGGCAGACUAGAGGUAUGCAGGGGAGAAUGGAAUUCCUGGUGUAGCGGUGAAAUGCGCAGAUAUCAGGAGGAACACCAGUGGCGAAGGCGGUUUCCUGGAGCUAACUUGACGCUGAGACGCGAAAGCUGGGGGAGCAAACGGG
rnacentral:rRNA from 1 species